AAGGAAUAUUGGUCAAUGGGCGCAAGCCUGAACCAGCCAUGCCGCGUGCAGGAUGACUGCCCUAUGGGUUGUAAACUGCUUUUGUUAGGGAAUAAACCUUCUUACGUGUAAGGAGCUGAAUGUACCUAAAGAAUAAGGAUCGGCUAACUCCGUGCCAGCAGCCGCGGUAAUACGGAGGAUCCAAGCGUUAUCCGGAUUUAUUGGGUUUAAAGGGUGCGUAGGUGGCUUAAUAAGUCAGGGGUGAAAGACAUCGGCUCAACCGAUGCAGUGCCUUUGAUACUGUUAAGCUUGAAUUAUGUUGAAGAUGGCGGAAUGAGACAAGUAGCGGUGAAAUGCAUAGAUAUGUCUCAGAACACCGAUUGCGAAGGCAGCUGUCUAAACAUGGAUUGACACUGAUGCACGAAAGCGUGGGGAUCAAAC
rnacentral:rRNA from 1 species